GUCAUCCGGUCCUCACAAGUGUCUCUUCAUGUGUAGGGCCAGGUGGUCCGACCUGGAGAAGGCCCUGUCACAUUUCUGGCAUUGGAAGGGUCGGUGGCCUGUGUGCUUCCUGUAGUGGCGCGUCAGCUCAUCGGAACGGGCAAACUUCCACCCGCAGCCCUCCCAGUCGCAGUGGACGCGAUGGGGGCAGCGGACGCCAGACGGCACAUAAUCCAUCCACCCACGGUGGGAUGCGGGGUCGCUGCCAAAAAAAAGGCUGACAUGAGGCUGGCAAAGCGUGUGAAUUAAUUAGCGUCUGGCGAAGUCCCAACGUCGGCAACCCGCACCGCCUCGCCUAGUCGGGAACAUCCUCCACGGUCACCUUAUCCUGACCUUCCCGGAGGAAAGUAUAGCAUGACUCACGACACGAUGGCAGUUAUGAUGAUGCUCCUAAAAUGCCAAGAACGAUGGCAAGAGAAGAAUGAAGUAACCAGACCAUCUGAUACGGGACACCUCUUUACCCGGUCCGAGGAACAGAAUCUAGGCCGUCCACACCGUCGGCAUGCUAUCCAGCACCACACAGAAUGGCAGCUCUUCCCUGGGGAAUCGAAUGGAGGGUAACAUCUUCCAUGCUGCAACCAACAGCUGUGAAGCGCGGAGCAGCCGGCUGGCGUUGAAAAAAAAAAGAAAGAAAAAAAAAGAAAGGUAAACAGGUUAUCAGCGAGAGAAGUCGGAAUAUGGCACAUGGAACAUGGCACCGCUAGCUUAGCAUCUGCCCUUUAGCAUCAAUGCUAUUAGGAAUUGGAGCAUUCCUCUUUACAGGAAUGAUAAUGUCAAGACUUCCAAGUCCAGUCAUCCUUCGCUAUGUUACGGUUCCAACAUUGCGCCUUUCCUCUAUCACGGUUUUUCAAAAAUUGAUAAAUCAAUAAAUCACCCCUGUUUUGGGGCUGAGUACGAACUAUUAUGGGUCAAAAGAUAUGCAUACAUAUGCAAAUUCCACAUCCCAAAAGAAACAUUUUCAAUCAUAAAAGUGGCUAAAUGACCGAAAAAUGCUCAUAUAAAGCAUCUACAGGAUUUUAUAUGUAGCUAGUAGUUGCGGGGUGUUAGCAUCAGGUGUGAGUUG